ACCCCGACGGGCGUGCGCGACACAAACAAACUCCGCGGCGCCGCCCUGGGCUCCGAAGCUGGGGGCGCGGCGCUGCGACGACUCCCCGGCCCAGGCCCCGACUCCGGCGGGACGCUCCUGGAAAGCCUCCCGCUAUCCCCGCGGGACGUGUUUGCUCCCCCCAGCGCUCCAUGUUCCCACCGGAGACCCCCGCGCCCUCCCACACACUGAGGCGACUCACCUCCACUAGCCGGCAGCUUCCGGGAACAAAGUGGAUGGAAAGCUCUUUCUGCCGCCCCACCAUGCCCGCCGUCUCCGCGCCGCCGCCAGAGCAGCCGCAAUGACGAUCGCCACAGCCUCGGCUCAAUCGCACCGGGCCCGCCUCUCCCAGACCUAAACCGACCCCGCUUCCGGCUUCCGCCGCCAUGGCCGCCCCGCUGAUUGGCCACGCUCCGCCGACGCCCCAAGGAGGAGGCGGGCGCACGCGGGUCGCUCCCAGCCCACACGCCAGCUCUUAAAGUGGUACGCCAGACAAACGCCCUGACCUUCAGCAAGGAACUCAGCUCGGUUUCGGAGAUUUUGCUUAUCUGGGUACUUUUUCUUCUGCUUUUUUUCCCUCUUUUCUUCUUAACCGAGGAGGGAUUGAAUUGGAUCGCCUAGAGUUUCAAGUUUGCAGACUGCACAGUGCAUCAUAAGAAAUCAGUUGGGCAUGUAAUAUAUAAAAUAGAAUAAAACAUUUUAAAGUCAUGGGACGUGAGGGGGAGGAAGGAGCACAGAGAACGCAUCUCUAGAGCAUUAGUUGUGGGUUUUCAAAGAUUUAGAAAAAGGCGAGAUAAAAAUAAGUGUUGGCAUCUGAGCCAUUUGUCUUUCUGGGACGCUAAAAAAUAGGAUGUGUGAAAUUGCAAAAAUGUGGAAACUAUUUUUAACUAAAAAGGUGUGGGGGAGAGGAAGAUGAAUUCUUUGGGUACUUCUUCAAAACGCAGGUUCUUUGAUUUUACCCAUAAUAUCAGAAUGAGAAACUGGUGGCAGAGCCCGGACUCUACUCAGUGGAGUUAACAGGGCUCAGGACCACUCUUCCAGGAGCUCCUCUCGGAGACGCUCCGCCGUGGGGCCCGCAGCUUUGAGCUCCGUGAGCCCAGACUCGGUAAGAACCGAAAAUUAAAAAACCAACCAGAGUGUAAUGCUGGGCGUUCUACCACCUGAACUGGCUUUCAAGUAAAUCAGGAACAAGAGCCCUAAGUGUUGAGGCCCAUCUGGCAUCCAACUGAUUUUCCUUCCACUUCGAAACCGCAGAGUUCUCCAGGCAGAACAGGCCGCCUGGGACAUUGACCCAGAAGAUAGUAACCCCAGCACAGAGCGUGUAGGAGCCGCCGAUUUCUCUCCGAACGGUGCAAGUUCUUGUCCAGACACCCAGGAUAUCGAGCUCUAAACGUCACCAGCAAACGUGACCAGUGCUUGGAUUUUCUGGAAGAGGCUUCCCCACUCCUGGUGACAGUGCCCUCCAACCCUGUCUGGGAGGAUGAAGGCUGUAUUACCUGAGGAAAUAGUAAAAUGGCCUCCCCUAAGGCAGUUGUCCUGUCUCCGUCCUGCAACUAUGAAAAACAAUGCUGAUUCUCCUCAGGACCCACUCACCACCUCUCUUUGCUUCUACACCUAUAACCAGCCUCAAGUCUCAGCAGGCCCCUAAGUUACUUACAGGUUCCCCUCAAGUUGGGCUAUUUUCCACUGAGACUCUUCGAGAUUCUUCUGGGUGGCCUGCAGCUUCAUCUCCAUGCCUUCUUGUUUAGCUAUCAUACUCUACACAACAGAGAUAUCUGUUUUAGGAAAUGAGAAAUUGUUCAGAUCCUCAGAUCUAGACACAACAAACUUGCUGAAGUUUCCAGGUCCUGGAUCCUCCUGUCCUGACCAGCACGUUCCUGCACAAGAACACGAAUCUGGACGAAAACAAGGCGAUAAAUAAAUGAUUCACUAAUAUAACACCAACAUAAAUCGAUGCUACUGAUAAUGAAAGCAUUAAAGCUUCUGGAAAAACCUCUGAUUUUGACAUUAUGUUCACAGACAUUCUA